rnacentral:misc_RNA from 1 species
AAGUCGUAACAAGGUUUCCGUAGGUGAACCUGCGGAAGGAUCAUUACUGAGUUAGGGUCUUCUGGGCUCGAUCUCCAACCCUUUGUUUAAUUACCUUUGUUGCUUUGGCAGGCCCGUUCUUAACGGAACCGCCGGAGGUGUUAGGUCACCUCUAGCCCGUGCUUGCCAGUAGCCCAAAUAAAUUCUUUAUCAAAAAUGUCUAAGCAUUAAAUAUAAAUUUAAUUAAAACUUUCAACAACGGAUCUCUUGGUUCUG